rnacentral:rRNA from 1 species
UGUAGGCUGCAACUCGCCUACAUGAAGCUGGAAUUGCUAGUAAUCACAGGUCAGCAUACUGUGGUGAAUACGUUCCCGGGCCUUGUACACACCGCCCGUCACACCAUGAGAGUUGAGAAUACCCGAAGUCCAUGUCAAAGUGGCCGAAGGUAGGCUUGAUGAUUGGGGUGAAGUCGUAACAAGGUAAC